rnacentral:lncRNA from 1 species
GGGGAGAAGGUGGCUGCGGCUGCUGGGGCCGCUGCGCCGGCGGCGGUUCCCGAUGUGGAGGUCCGUCUUGGGUGGGGAGGCACCCAGGUCGCUGGUUCGAUGCAGAGGAAGAAACCACACCUAGCACGUAAAGCCCUGAAAAAAUAGAGUAGAGACGGGGUUUCACCAUGUUGGCCAGGCUGGUCUCGAACUCCUGAGCUCAGGUAAUCCAUCUGCCUUGGCCUCCCAAAGUGCUGGGAUUACAGGCAUGAGCCACCGCACCUGUCCUUGAGGUGUACAGUAGAGUUUUCCAGAGGCUACAUGACAUGCAGUAUCACAACGGAAGCAAAUAUAAGAACCCACCUGUCUCCUGUUAAAAUGCAAAAUGUAAAACAAUACCACUUUGCUAACUGUUUUUGUUUGGGGAAAUAUAGUUCAUAAAAAUAUUUAUGUUAACAUGUAAUUUAGGUUAAAAUAAAUUAAUAAAUAUUUGUAAAUU